GUCCAGCAACAUCCCUCAGCAGGUUAGAGCGUGGUGCUGACAACGCCAAGGUUGCAGGUUCGAUCCCCGUUAAGGGACA